AGGAGGCGCUGGGGUGAUGCUCAAGCCCUCCUGCCCCACUCCAGUGGGGCCGGCAGGGAGGGCGGAUCAGUGCUUUGUCUUUGCCUUUCUACCCUGGAGGAGAGAUCUUGGGGAGAACAGAAGAAAGGACAGAGAGGAGGAGGCUGGAGGCCCAGAUCGGCGCCUGAGUCAUUGCUCCCUUCUGUUAAGGCAGCACUUUCAAGGCGAAGGUCUCAGAUCCUAUCUGAAGGGCUCACGCUUGUCUCUUUUUUUACCCCAAAGAGAAGCACGUCACAGAAAGUCACCCUGGCGGUGUCUACGGCUAAGAGCUGGCUCCCGUGGCUGAGUGACUCAGAACCGGAGGCCGGGCGACAGCCCCUGAGACUCGGUGACCAGCACAGGGUGAAGCGGCUUCUCUCUCUGACUGUCGGACGCCCCCGGGCUUGGGAUGGAGAGAAAUGGCAGACUCACAGCCUCUCAUUUCUGGAGGGUUCUCCGGAGGCCAUCGAAUCCCCUGGACAGGACGUCCCCUUCACUUCAUGCCAGCCCCGAGAGCUCACUGGUCACUUCCACGCCGUGCCCACUUCAUUAAUUAAAGGAUUUUGUACUCAGAAUACAGUACAUCAAAGAUUUGUGAUUUCUCGGCACAGGGAGCUGGAAACUUACCUUUAAUUUGGCAGGAUUGAGUACCCAGCCCAGAAGACUGUUCCAGUUCCCAAUGCCAUGGAAUAAGAAAAGUGAUUUUUUGUCUCUUUCUCUGGGGAUAAGAAUAUGAGCACCUCUACACUGGAGUGAUUGAAAGCUUCCUGUCUCCU
rnacentral:lncRNA from 1 species